rnacentral:misc_RNA from 1 species
AAGUCGUAACAAGGUAACCGUAGGUGAACCUGCGGUUGGAUCAUUAAAGAAUUAUGAUGUGUCGGCGCCGCGUAAAAACCGGUGCCCUCACACUCAUAUCCACCUCUUUGUGUAACGUUUCCCGUAUUUUGGCGGUCCACAAACCAUGGGUGUCAGACACUUCAGUGUCUUUCGCUCGGACCGCCAGCCACCAAACAACACCUUGUUAUGUUUUGUGACUUUGAAAGCCUUUUUAUAGGUUUCUAAAAUUUGAAAACAACUUUUGACAACGGAUCUCUUGGCUCUC